rnacentral:rRNA from 1 species
AUUGAACGCUGGCGGCAUGCUUUACACAUGCAAGUCGAACGGUAACAGGCCUUCGGGUGCUGACGAGUGGCGCACGGGUGAGUAAUGCAUCGGAACGUACCCAGAGGUGGGGGAUAGCGCAGCGAAAGCUGUGCUAAUACCGCAUGUGAUCUGAGGAUGAAAGCGGGGGACCGAGCAGCAAUGUUUGGCCUCGCGCCUUUGGAGCGGCCGAUGUCGGAUUAGCUAGUUGAUGGGGUAAAGGCCUACCAAGGCGACGAUCCGUAGCUGGUCUGAGAGGACGACCAGCCACACUGGGACUGAGACACGGCCCAGACUCCUACGGGAGGCAGCAGUGGGGAAUUUUGGACAAUGGGCGCAAGCCUGAUCCAGCAAUGCCGCGUGCGGGAAGAAGGCCUUCGGGUUGUAAACCGCUUUUGGCAGGAACGAAACGGUGUCCGCUAAUACCGGGCGCUAAUGACGGUACCUGCAGAAUAAGCACCGGCUAACUACGUG